rnacentral:misc_RNA from 1 species
GAUGAAGAACGCAGCGAAAUGCGAUAAGUAAUGUGAAUUGCAGAAUUCCGUGAAUCAUCGAAUCUUUGAACGCAUAUUGCGCUCUCUGGUAUUCCGGAGAGCAUGCUUGUUUGAGUAUCAGUAAACACCUCAACUUCCAUAUCUUUUUUGAAAUGGGAGUUGGACUUGAGUGAUCCCAACGCUUUUCCUCACCGAAAAGUGGCGGGUUACUUGAAAUGCAGGUGCAGCUGGACUUUUCUCUGAGCUAUAAGCAUAUCUAUUUAGUCUGCCUAAAAAACAGAUUAUUACCUUUGCUGCAGCUAACAUAAAGGAGAUUAGUUCUUGUGCUGACUGAUGCAGGAUUCACAAAGACAGGCUUCGGCCGACUUUGUAAACUCGAUCUCAAAUCAAGUAAGACUACCCGCUGAACUUAAGCAUAUCAAUAAGCGGAGGA